UCCUUUUAUACGAGUCCCAUAAGAUACAUUUUUUUUUUAAAUGAGCUUAAAGCAAGGGAAAAAGCGGGGAUUCCCCCUAUAACUUGAAAUGUGAAGUUCACGGACGGUAGAAAAUUUCUAAACUAAUAUGUUUAAUUAAGAAAAAUGCGGCGUAUGUCUCAGAAAAGUUGUUAAUCGGUGACAGAUGAGUGCAUCUGCUGCUGCAUCGUGCACAGGCAUGCUCUGUGACUUAUGAAGGGGGGGCUUUUCUGUCCUGUCACGCAUCUACAACCCAGUUCCUGCUGUGGAGUUACAAAGAAGGAGGAAAAAAAAGGCAGGUGUACACAUGGGUUGAUCGAGCUUUUACUACACGACCACGCUCUAACAAUGCGCGUAUGUGAACGCAGCCAAACAUGGUUAGACACGGUGCUCGGCAAGGGGCGCGUCAGUUUGAUUUUCCUUCUGUUUUCAGAGGGUUUGCAACAAUAAUCGCGCUGCACCUUGCCUCCCCUGCACCUCAUCCUCCUCGCUUCGCGUUAAAGAGUGGAUUCAUAUUUCUAGCUUAAAAACAGAACCCUGCAGAAAGAGAAAGAAGGAGGGAAGGUUGCAGAUCCUCAAGGCCGUCCACCAGCUU